rnacentral:lncRNA from 1 species
CAGGAAAAAACAAUUUAAUAGAUUAGAUUGCAGAUAGAAAUUCCUAACAUUGACAGAAAUACCUUUUUUUUUUCUAGUUUUAAUCUUUUUAUUCUGAUUUGAGAGCAAUAGAAGGGCAGAUUAAUACCUCUCUUUCAAAGUUAAAAGACCUACCAUUUUGGUGCCUAGGAUACUACUUUACUUCAAAUAAACUUCUUUUGAAUGUGUAAGGAUAGUCUUAAUCAUCUUAAACCAGCAAUAAAAAAGUAAAAUAUAAAUUUUUAUUUAGAAUUAAAGCAAAUACUUCAGUAUCACAAACACAAUAUUAAACUUCAAGAAAUAUACUGCUAAUUUGGAGUGAGCAUUUAUUUGCACAAUCACAACAUGCGGACAAAUCCAGAAAAGAUGAUAAAGUCUGAAAUUUUCAACAUCCCACCACUAGAGCAGUUGGUCACAAUAUUUCGUACAAAGCACAACAUUAAAUGCACUGUAAUCGAUGUUGACAAAAUUUCCACAGACUCAUCUUUACAGACAACAAGAAAGCUCUAAAGAUGCAAAACAUUGCAAUCUAGUCUUCUUCCGAAGAGUCUCUCUCAAAUGUGUAGGCCAUGAAGCAAGCAUCUGGUCUCUUGGGGACAAGGGGAUGCCCUGGUCUCACACCCACCUGGGAUCUUCAGGGGUGGGUGAGGGACAUCAGGAGCACCACUGAGGCCCUGGACCCAGGUUACUACAGCAAUUAAAAGAGACCCUGGAACUCUCGCUGCUGCGGCUGCCGCUGCUGUGGAGGCUGAGGACUGGCAUGGCGCGGCUGACGUGGACGGUGGUGCUGGGUUUAUCCCCCUCUUUCUCUCGGGCGAAGCAGUGGCUGUUGAGGAUCCGCUGCAGGGAGGAUUUCACCAUCCGGCCGCUGGGGGUCCGAAACCAGGAAACCUCCGCUGCACCUCUCCGGGCCGCCGCUGCUGCUCGCCGUUCGCCAGAAAUACCUUUUUUUUUUUAAACCAAAAUAAUACUAAUUCUUUAAAGCCUAUAUCUGCCUCUCUACAUCUU